rnacentral:rRNA from 1 species
GACGAACGCUGGCGGCGUGCUUAACACAUGCAAGUCGAACGGUGAAGCCCUUCGGGGUGGAUCAGUGGCGAACGGGUGAGUAACACGUGAGCAACCUGCCCCUGGCUCUGGGACAACCACUGGAAACGGUGGCUAAUACCGGAUACGACCCGCCUCGGCAGCGAGUGUGGGUGGAAAGUUUUUCGGCUGGGGAUGGGCUCGCGGCCUAUCAGCUUGUUGGUGAGGUGAAGGCUCACCAAGGCGACGACGGGUAGCCGGCCUGAGAGGGCGACCGGCCACACUGGGACUGAGACACGGCCCAGACUCCUACGGGAGGCAGCAGUGGGGAAUAUUGCACAAUGGGCGAAAGCCUGAUGCAGCGACGCCGCGUGAGGGAUGACGGCCUUCGGGUUGUAAACCUCUUUCAGCUCCGAAGAAGCGAAAGUGACGGUAGGAGCAGAAGAAGCACCGGCUAACUACGUG